GAGGCAGGUUGGGGUGCUGGGUCUUAGCUCAGCUCAUCGGAGGAGGCAAUUCAAACUCUUCAGAAUAUUUCACCAUCCAGGCAACUCAAGGCAAGCACAUUGUGCUGCUGUCAGGAAGCGACCCAACAGAACACCGUUUGAUUUUGGAAUCGUUUUCCCAAACAGCUGUCCUCUGCUCUCCUAGAACACAUGCCGUCCUCACGUCUCUAAAGACUCACUUCCUCGCCUGGAGCCUGCUCACUCAGGGAAAGCAUACCGGUUUUUUUCUGUGUCAUGGAAGGAAGAUUGCUUCUUCCCCUUCCCUCUCACUUGCCAUGUGACCUAGGGGAAACGACUUUCCCUUUCUGGGUCCUGUUUCCUUGUCAGAAAAAAUAUAUUGUGCUGGAUGGUCUCUCAGGUACCCCUUAAUUCUUAAUCUGUGAGUCUAUGUAUCUUAAAAAAAAAAAAAAAACCUAAAUAAAAAAUUGACAACACCACUUCA
ensembl:lncRNA